rnacentral:miRNA from 1 species
CCAACAGACACAAAACCGACG